CGGGCUUACGGAUCGAAAGCAUUGCAGUUAUAAAUUUACGUGGUGUUUCCACACACAAAACUAUUAUAUAUUUUAUCGUCAUGCAAUCAUACAAAGAACUUAAAGUGCCUAUCACCCAUUUUUUUUUUUUACUUUUUAUUCGAAAAGUAUAGUUAAAAACAAAUAUAAAUUCGAUUUUUUUUUUGAAAAUUUUUUUUCCCCAUGAUUUUAAUGCCAAAUUGUUACAAAAUUAUAAUGUUGGCCGAGCGCAUCGGGGACUGGUAACCUGUGACGUAGCACGAGGGACUCAUGUUAGUCGUGUUGUGUUUGCUACUGUAUAAAUAUACGAACAGAAAUGCUAUUUCAAGCUUAUUUUCGGAUUAUUUCAUUGAAAUUUUACAUGAAGAACAUCUUCCGGGUCAGACAAAUGCUCUAUCUCUGACGAUGACUCGGAAUAUAACUAUAUUCCGGGUAACUAUUCGCUCAUUGAAACGGAGAUUAUGCAAGCUUCAGAAAGUGACGAUGGCGAUGUAGAACAGUCUGAACAGACGAGCUUUGCUGAUGUGGAACCGUACUCAAGCGAGCCUAUGCGGAUGAAGAAUGGGUUAAAGAGUACAGACAACGACAAGCAGAAAAAGAACAAAAGCUUGCAAGUUUGAAAGAUCGUUUAGCUGGAAAAGAAAGCCUUAGUAACUGGUCAGUCUGAAACAAAACUAACAUGUAUUUUUAACAUUUUAAUUUCAAUGCCAAUAUUAUAAAUCAUUAUGUAUAAAUCGCUGACCCAUUGCUAUCACAUUUUAGGUGCUCUUGUGGUAAAUGCUCAACAACCCUAUUACAAAAUCCCAAUGAGUGCUUAUGUUGUCAAGACAUAGAGCA